rnacentral:lncRNA from 1 species
GAGAAGUGAGUUAGUGAGUCAAAAAUGUAUAAGUGUAGGUACUUGAAAUGUGGACUUGUGUUUUCAAUAUAGUUAAGUGUGGUCACUUGAGAAGUGAGUUAGUGACUUCAAAAUGUUUAAGUAUAGUUACUUGAAAGUUGGACUUGUGUUUUGAAUAUAGUUAAGUGUGGUCACUUAAGAAAUGAAUUAGUGACUUAAAAAAAUGUUUUAGUG